rnacentral:rRNA from 1 species
UACAGAGGUGGCAAGCGUUGUUCGGAAUUACUGGGCGUAAAGAGCUCGUAGGCGGCUUGUCGCGUCGUUCGUGAAAACCCACAGCUCAACUGUGGGCUUGCGGGCGAUACGGGCAGGCUAGAGUUCGGUAGGGGAGACUGGAAUUCCUGGUGUAGCGGUGAAAUGCGCAGAUAUCAGGAGGAACACCGGUGGCGAAGGCGGGUCUCUGGGCCGAUACUGACGCUGAGGAGCGAAAGCGUGGGGAGCGAACAGG